rnacentral:rRNA from 1 species
AUGAACGCUGACAGAAUGCUUAACACAUGCAAGUCAACUUGAAUUUGGGUUUUUAACUUAAGUUUGGGUGGCGGACGGGUGAGUAACGCGUAAAGAACUUGCCUCACAGCUAGGGACAACAUUUGGAAACGAAUGCUAAUACCUAAUAUUAUGAUAAUAGGGCAUCCUAUAAUUAUGAAAGCUAUAAGCGCUGUGAGAGAGCUUUGCGUCCCAUUAGCUAGUUGGAGAGGUAACGGCUCACCAAGGCGAUGAUGGGUAGCCGACCUGAGAGGGUGAUCGGCCACAAGGGGACUGAGACACGGCCCUUACUCCUACGGGAGGCAGCAGUGGGGAAUAUUGGACAAUGGACCAAGAGUCUGAUCCAGCAAUUCUGUGUGCACGAUGAAGUUUUUCGGAAUGUAAAGUGCUUUCAGUUGGGAAGAAAGAAAUGACGGUACCAACAGAAUAAGUGACGGCUAAAUACGUGCCAGCAGCCGCGGUAAUACGUAUGUCACGAGCGUUAUCCGGAUUUAUUGGGCGUAUAGCGCGUCUAGGUGGUUAUGUAAGUCUGAUGUUGAAUAUGCAGGGCUCAACUCUGUAUUGCGUUGGAAACUGUAUAACUAGAGUACUGGAUAGGUAAGCGUAACUACUUGUGUAUAGGUGAUAUUCGUAAAUUUUGUAUGAAUGCCCUGUGGGGAAGCCAGCUUUCUGUAUAAUAUACUGAUGCUUGAAGCCCUAAAGCGUGUUAUCAAACAGGAUUAAAUACCCUGUGAUUGCAAGUGCGAUUUCUACAUUGUAUUCACGGUUGUGUGAUCUGUUAACUCUACGGUGUGUCCUAAGAAAUCUAUUUUUGUUCUCUUUUUUUUGUGUUGAAUAAUUUUUUUUUCUUGAUUGUUGUUUUGUUGUGUGUUCAGUGUUUCCAUUAUUCUGACUCUGUUGCUUCCUUCCUGUCUUCCUUCUUCUUUUUUUAUUCUUGUACCUGUCUCUUUGUCUUUUGUCUCCUGUGCUAUUGUUUGAUAUUUUACUGCUAUUGUGUUCUAUGUUUGCAUGUCUAUGUGCUGUUCCCCUGCAUGUAUUCUUCUGUUUCUGUUUUUCUGUGUAUAACUAUAUCUCAUGCUGUCUUCUGUACCUUCCUGCUCUACUCAUGUCUGUUGCUUCUCUUCUUGCUAGU